rnacentral:rRNA from 1 species
GGAUUAUCUACCCGUCUUGAAACACGGACCAAGGAGUCUAACAUGGAUGCGAAUGUGAACGGCUGGAAUCCGACACAUGCAGUGAAAACGAAUAACUGUGAAAAUCUAACGGUUUAGCAACAGUAUCCUUAACCGGAUGAAGUAAACAUGUUAGGACCCGAAAGAUGGUGAACUAUACUUGAACGGUUUGAAGCCGAAGGAAACUUUGGUGGAGGAACCACGCAGUGUUAACGUGCAAAUUACUUGUCAUAUUUGAGUAUAGGGGCGAAAGACUCAUCGAACUAUCUAGUAGCUGGUUCCACCUGAAUAUUCCCUUAGGAAGGUCAAAGUGGUAGUAGUAUUGAUUGGUAAAGAUAAUGAUUAGGUGUAAUGGGGAAGUUUUUUUCCUCAACAUUUUCUCAAACUAUGAAUAGUCAAAGGAGUUGAACUAGUGUUAAUUACACUUGGGGAUAUGAAUAUAGCAACACUUUGAAUCGGCCAAGUCUGGUAAGCAGGACUGGCGAUGCGGGAUGAACCGAACGUCGAGCUAAAGUGCCAAAGAGAAACAUGACGAGCACCAUAAAAGGUAUUCAUUCCUUUGGACAAUAGGACGGUGGCCAUGGAAGUCGGAAACCGCUAAGGAGUGUGUAACAACUCACCUAUCGAAGGAAUGAGUCCUGAAAAUGGAUGGCAUUAUAAUUUCUUGAACUGAUACUCGACCGGUAUAGUGCGGAGACUGUACCGAGUAAGGAAACGAAAUGGCGUAGAGAUAACAGGAUAGUUGUAAAGGCUUGGGGUAACCUUGGCUGGAACUAUCUCUAGUGCUGAUCUUGGUGGUAGUAGCAAAUACUAAGAAGAAGUAAUAACAUCUUAGAACUGAAGAGGAGAAAGGUUCCUAAACAACAUUACUUGGAUUAGGGUGAAUCGAUCCUAAAUUACAGAUGGAAAUCCUGAAGAAAU